rnacentral:rRNA from 1 species
UACGUAGGGUGCGAGCGUUAAUCGGAAUUACUGGGCGUAAGCGUGAGCGCAGGCGGUGAUGUAAGACCGAUGUGAAAUCCCCGGGCUUAACCUGGGAACUGCAUUGGUGACUGCAUUGCUGGAGUAUGGCAGAGGGGGGUGGAAUUCCACGUGUAGCAGUGAAAUGCGUAGAGAUGUGGAGGAACACCGAUGGCGAAGGCAGCCCCCUGGGCCAAUACUGACGCUCAUGCACGAAAGCGUGGGGAGCAAACAGG